GUGCCAGCAGCCGCGGUAAAACGUAGGAGGCGAGCGUUAUCCGGAGUUACUGGGCGUAAAGCGCGCGUAGGCGGUCGGGUAAGUGGCUUGUGAAAUCCGUCGGCUAAACCGAGGGAGGUCAGGUCAGACUGCUUGACUAGAGGGAGGUAGAGGAGCGUGGAAUUCGGGGUGGAGCGGUGAAAUGUGUAGAGAUCCCGAGGAACACCAGUGGGGCAACCGGCGCUCUGGGCCUUUACUGACGCUGAGGCGCGAAAGCGUGGGGAGCGAACGGGAUUAGAAACCCCCGUAGUCC
rnacentral:rRNA from 1 species